UAGUGGAUGUUGGCUGUAGUAGGUUCACUAUAGGAGUAGGGUAUGUAUUUAGAUGAGAUCUAUCGAUCUUAGUAGACAAGUAGUCCUACGAGAUUUGAGAAGCUAAGUCUAUAAGUCUGUGGUCAUAGCAAGAUGAUUGAUGAAAAAAAAAUUUCAUGAAUAUCACAAAUGGACUUAAACUAAUCGAAUCUUUUAUAUGAUAGAUGAAGGGGUUUGACAAGCUUCUAUAACCUCCAUCUUAUCAGGACUCACGAUAGAGGAACUAAAUCACACAAUA
rnacentral:lncRNA from 1 species